GUCCCUGUAGCUCAGUGGAUAGAGCACUGGUUUCCUAAACCGGGGGUCGCAGGUUCAAGUCCUGCCGGGGACGC
rnacentral:tRNA from 1 species